rnacentral:rRNA from 1 species
AGCAGCCGCGGUAAUUCCAGCUCCAAUAGCGUAUAUUAAAGUUGUUGCAGUUAAAAAGCUCGUAGUUGAAUUUCGGGAUCAGUACGUCGGUCGUGCCUUCGGUACGUACUGGCGUCGCUGAUUUCUCCCUUCUGACGAAUCGUGAUGCCAUUAAUUUGGUGUUGCGGGGAAUCAGGACUGUUACUUUGAAAAAUUAGAGUGUUUAAAGCGGGCACGCGCUUGAAUACAUUAGCAUGGAAUAACGAAAUAGGACGUUCGAUCUUAUUUUGUUGGUUUCUAGGAUUGACGUAAUGAUUAAUAGGGAUAGUUGGGGGCAUUAGUAUUCAAUUGUCAGAGUGAAAUUCUUGGAUUUAUUGAAGACUAACUACUGCGAAAGCAUUUGCCAAGGAUGUUUUCAUUAAUCAAGAACGAAAGUUAGGGGAUCG